AAAUUGAAGAGUUUGAUCAUGGCUCAGAUUGAACGCUGGCGGCAGGCCUAACACAUGCAAGUCGAACGGUAACAGGAAGCAGCUUGCUGCUUCGCUGACGAGUGGCGGACGGGUGAGUAAUGUCUGGGAAACUGCCUGAUGGAGGGGGAUAACUACUGGAAACGGUGGCUAAUACCGCAUAACGUCGCAAGACCAAAGAGGGGGACCUUCGGGCCUCUUGCCAUCAGAUGUGCCCAGAUGGGAUUAGCUUGUUGGUGAGGUAACGGCUCACCAAGGCGACGAUCCCUAGCUGGUCUGAGAGGAUGACCAGCCACACUGGAACUGAGACACGGUCCAGACUCCUACGGGAGGCAGCAGUGGGGAAUAUUGCACAAUGGGCGCAAGCCUGAUGCAGCCAUGCCGCGUGUAUGAAGAAGGCCUUCGGGUUGUAAAGUACUUUCAGCGGGGAGGAAGGUGUUGUGGUUAAUAACCGCAGCAAUUGACGUUACCCGCAGAAGAAGCACCGGCUAACUCCGUGCCAGCAGCCGCGGUAAUACGGAGGGUGCAAGCGUUAAUCGGAAUUACUGGGCGUAAAGCGCACGCAGGCGGUCUGUCAAGUCGGAUGUGAAAUCCCCGGGCUCAACCUGGGAACUGCAUUCGAAACUGGCA
rnacentral:rRNA from 1 species